rnacentral:lncRNA from 1 species
GAAAACAGAAAUGGAAAGAUUUAAUUGCUGUUUUUUAAACCCUUUAAGAUUAUUUUAACCUAUAACAUUUUAAGGUUGUAAUAAACUCUUCUCCCUUUCUUUGCAAGGAUUAAUACCAGAACUCCUAAUUCCAGUUCUUUUUUUAUUCCCCACAACCGUAGUGACCAGUGGAGUUGAAACAAGGGUCAACACACCCUCAUCCUUACCUACUUGGUCUCAUUAAAAGUGAACAUUAAAUGCUAUAGCAUAUAGAAAGUUCCUAAGUGGGCCAGGUGUGGUGGCUUACGCCUGUAAUUCCAGCGCUUUGUAAGGCCAAGGUGGGAGGAUCACAUGAGCCCAGGAGUUUGAGACCAGACUGUGCAACAUAGGGAGACCUCAUCUCUCCAAAAAAUAAAAAUAAAUUAGCCAGGCAUGGUGGUGUGUGCCUGUAGUCCUAGCUCCUCUGGAGGCUGAGGCAGGAGGAUCGCUUGAGUCUGCUAGGUCAAGGCU